GCAGAAACCAGGACUACUGAAAGAUCCUGGGCUAAAAACUUUUUUCAGCUCUGUUCAUACACCAAAUCCUAAAGAGUAGAAACCUCUUAAGGUAUAUUUUCCUGAAAGAGAUGAACUGGUGUAUAGUUCCCCUACUCAAGAGAAUGGAGCUUCACUACCAGGAUAUAUUACGGAUAUAAGAAUCUUCAAGAGGGAAAUAUGAAAGAGAAUGAACCAGAGUAACCUAGAAGGAAGUUGUGAUAUGAAGAACUCAUCUUGGAAUGGGAAGAUCAGACCUCCAGUCAUUUCUCUGCUUAACUACUAGCCAGUGUGAGCAGAGACUCCUUGAACCACAGUUCUUAUAUCUAUUCAAACUUACAAGUUUGUUAUAGAGAUCAAAUGAUAUCAAUCAUGUAAAAUUUAUUAAUAAAUUUAUAAAGUUUGCAAAC